CAGAAAGUGAUGACCAGUGCAGCACCCAGUGACAGUAUCAAGAGGAGCUCUCAAUGGCAUGUGAGUGCUUGCUUCCGCAUGGAGGAGCAGAGACACCUUGAGAAGUCAUUUACAGAAAGGUGAAAGGCAUCCUCCUGAUUUCACACCACUCUUGUACAGACAGAAAUGAUGCUUCAAACGCACAUCAGAGGAGAGCUGGGCCCCAC
rnacentral:lncRNA from 1 species